GCCUACAGCCAUACCACCCUGAACGCGUCUGAUCUCUUCUGAUCUUGGAAACUAAGCAGGGUCGGGCCUGGUUAGUACUUAAAUGGGAGAAAUGGAUUUGAUUUUAGCA
ensembl:rRNA 5S_rRNA 5S ribosomal RNA